UAACCCUUCAGCCGAGGCAAAUUGUUACAAAAGAAGACUGGGAUAAGAAGCAUCACUGAGCUGAUGCCAUGUCAACCACCUGAUGAAGUCUACAGAAAGGUUGUCAAGCACGUCUUCCCCCUGCCAGGUGUGAAGAGGACAUGGUAGUCAGUAAUUGAGCUCAACUAUGCCAAAACCAUCAUGUGAGUCAUCCAUUCCCUAAAGGAGGUAAUAGUGAGCACCUGCCACCUCAUCACCUGAAUGUCACUCCUGGGACCCUUCAUCGUAUCAUCCAUGCAGUUUUUGGGGUGAGGACUGAAACGUCUCAAGAGAGCCUGCUGACAGUGGACACCUCUGAAUGGAUAAUCACACGCACGCACGCACACGCACACGCACAGGCACACACACAUUCUUGUGAACAUGCACACACAUGCAAAUUUUACAUGCUGCACACCUGCACACACAGAAGUGUGCAAAUGCAUAUGGACACAUAUUCAUCUGUGAAGACACCUUUCAACCGUGCACAGCAGCUCUCACCCAGUGGCACUUCAAGCACCAAGUUCAGAUGCACAGCUUUCAUUGUGCAUGAAUGCCAAGUGAUACCUGGAGUGCUGUUAACGACAGAAACACUAAUAUUCAUUUUGUCAUCAGCAUGAACACUUUACACCCUCCUCAGUCCCAGUUAGACCAACUGAUCACAAACAUUAAUUAAAAAAAACAUGGCAAAAUAUGAUGAUGAUGAUGAUUAUUAUUUUAUUAUUAGUUAGUAAAAUGUGUUGUUCAUAUAAUGGUUACAUCAUUAAAGUUUAUGUGUGCUUUUAUGUAGUUAGACAUUACUCAGAAAAAAAAAAAAUGCAGCAGAUGUUCAAAUUUAACUAGCUAAACUUCACAAAUCAAAGCCGGACCACUAAUAAAGAGCUCUUGUCAGUUGGUAAAGAGGUGAGAUUACACGCACACACACACACUUAUACACCAGUACCAAUCAUUAACAGCUCAGCUCGGGUCAUACUUUGCAGCUGCUCUUUCUGGAUAAGAUAAGACGUGACUGCCGAGUGUCUGUGUUCUUGCAUGUGUAUUUAUGUCUGUAUCAUUGUCUGUAUCUGUGGCUGAAAACACCUGUUCAAACAAAGCUU